GUUUGAUCAUGGCUCAGGACGAACGCUGGCGGCGUGCUUAACACAUGCAAGUCGAACGAAAAGACGGAAAGAGCUUGCUCUUUUCAGAAUUGAGUGGCAAACGGGUGAGUAACACGUAAACAACCUGCCUUCAGGAUGGGGACAACAGACGGAAACGACUGCUAAUACCGAAUAAGUUCCAAGGGCCGCAUGGCCCAUGGAAGAAAAGGUGGCCUCUACCUGUAAGCUAUCGCCUGAAGAGGGGUUUGCGUCUGAUUAGCUGGUUGGAGGGGUAACGGCCCACCAAGGCGACGAUCAGUAGCCGGUCUGAGAGGAUGAACGGCCACACUGGAACUGAGACACGGUCCAGACUCCUACGGGAGGCAGCAGUGGGGAAUCUUCCGCAAUGGGCGAAAGCCUGACGGAGCAACGCCGCGUGAGUGAUGACGGCCUUCGGGUUGUAAAACUCUGUGAUCCGGGACGAAAAGGCAGAGUGCGAAGAACAAACUGCAUUGACGGUACCGGAAAAGCAAGCCACGGCUAACUACGUGCCAGCAGCCGCGGUAAUACGUAGGUGGCAAGCGUUGUCCGGAAUUAUUGGGCGUAAAGCGCGCGCAGGCGGCUUCCCAAGUCCCUCUUAAAAGUGCGGGGCUUAACCCCGUGAUGGGAAGGAAACUGGGGAGCUGGAGUAUCG
rnacentral:rRNA from 1 species